GUUUGGCCUUGUGUUCAUGGCUGCACGAAAGCCCACGGCCACGUCUACCCAGCAGGCUUAUGCCGAAAGAGGCACCAGGCUGAUGUUGCUGGAGUCAAAUGUACACGUUCCCGCAAUGGCAGGUGUUUCGUGUACCAAUCGCUAACUAUCCCUUGGCCUUGGCUGCCGUCUGCUCAUUGGCCAAAAUGCCUGAAACUCUGCCCAGGUUGCAGACUUCCAUCCUCACCUGCCUGUGACUCCUGGUCUUGAAGGCAUCCUCAGAGCCAGCUGCUACUACCCUUCAGGGCAAGGGUCCAGUUCUUGCCAAUAUGUAUACUUUUUGUGUAUUUCCUAAGAGGAGAGUGACCUGUGGUAUGG